CGUAUACGAUAAAUAUCGUAUAUUUGGUAUCGAAUGGGUCAGACCAGUCGAUACGAAAUCUCGCAUACGAAAUUGAGGUAACGCGGGCAAUGUAUAGCUUUUAACACGUUGUGUCAGUUGUGUGGUUGGUUGAUAGCUUACAGCAGAUUUCGUUUUAUAUAUUGUUUAUAAGAAAGAUUGGUGUAAAUUAGAUUUAUUGGAACAUGCAAAAUUUAAUAAAUUUAGAAGCAAUUCGUCUUCUCGAAGAAGUUGAAGGAGGAGCAGUGGUUAGGCGAUUAUUUCAUGCAAGAAAUGAUCCUUUCGAGUUAUCCAAUAAGGAUUUUAUCCGAUUAUACAGAGUAAAUAAAAGAAUAGCUGAAGAUAUCAGUAAUAUUGUGUCGGAAUAUAUUAAUGAACAACCAAGACGAUUAUCAGCAUUAGAUAUAAACACACAGGUUGUAACAGCUCUACGCUUUAUGGCAUCUGGCAGUUACCAGACAGACAUAGGAUAUAACAUUAAUUCAGCUGUUAGCCAACCAUCUGUG